AAUGUUUUACAUUUACAUUUACAUUUACAUUUGGUAUUUUAUUUAUUUUUCUUGUCCGGACGGAGCAACCCACUGCCCUAUCGGCCGCACCCAACUCCAUCGCUGUCCUGUUCUGGUCUGUCUGUCUGGGUCGCGAUCUCACCUUUGCAAAGAUGAUGACAGACGAUGAGCUCAUCACGAAGCUCGAAGAAACCACCAAGGACGCGCCGCGCCACCAGCUCGAUACUCUCCGCGCCAUUCUCGAACGCAACGCUGCCGUACGUUAUCUCCACCGAGGCUAUCCUACGCCCUCUGCCGUCGACGCGGCUACUUUCCGGCGAUCCGUUCCCCUGUCUUGCUACGACGAUGACUAUGCCGAUCACAUCCUUCGAAUAGCCGACGGUGAUGAUGAUGAUGAUCGGCCUUUACUCUCCGUUGACUCUUUGGUCUGUUUCUUCUACAGUUCUGGGACAAGUUCCAUGAAGCCAAAAUUGAUCCCUUACUUUGAUUCUGCGCCAUCGAAAGCCAUCUCAUUUUUGGCUCACCAGGGCAGUGCUGCUAUUCUUCGAAGGUUGUUCCCUCCAAGACCCUUUGUCAAUAAGAUUCUCUGGUUUAUGUAUGCUGGUGAUGUAAAAAACACAAAAGGGGGAUACAAGGCUAUGGCAGCCUCCCCUUUUCCCUUUCCAAAGCAAUAAUCCUAACGCAUCCCGGUUUCUCUCCAUGUCGGUCAGUCCAAAAGAAGUCAUUUUAGGUUCGGAUGUUGAGCAACAAAUGUAUUGCCACCUUCUUUGUGGUUUAAGGCACUCUGAUUUAGUUGAUGGGAUUCGAGCACCCUAUGCUGCCGGUUUAGUUAGAGCAAUUUGCCUUCUGGAAUCUAAGUGGGAACAAUUAUGUCAAGAUCUUGAAUAUGGGUAUCCAAGUUCGGGAAUUUUUGAUGUUGCCACAAGAGAUUCAGUUAUUGGGGUUCUCUCUGAGCCUCAACCAGAACUGGCGAAGAGAUAUCGAUCAAUUUGUGAAGAAGAGGAUUGGGGAGGCAUUUUAAGUAAAUUAUGGCCAAAUGCGCGUUAUAUUAAGUGUGUUACCACUGGAAGUAUGGAGCAAUAUUAUUCAAAAAUUAAGUACUAUGGAGGAGAGUUACCAGUGUUAGGUGGAGACUACUUUGCUUCAGAAUGUUGUGUGGGUAUUAACUUGGAUAUUUCACAACCUCCAGAGCUAACCCGAUUUACUAUGCUACCAACUGCAGCGUAUUUUGAGUUUCUUCCGUUCGACAUUAACAAGAUGAGUGCUCGUGAGGAAGAAACAGUUGAUCUUACUGGUGUUGAGAUGGGGAAGAUGUAUGAGGUGGUUGUGACUACUUAUAGAGGAUUGUAUCGAUAUCGUUUGGGUGAUAUUGUGAAGGUUGUCGGUUUCUAUAAUUCAUCCCCACAAGUUGAGUUUGUGAUGAGAGCUCCUAAAACUCCCAGUGAGAUCUUGACAGAAGGGGACUUGAUGUCUGCAAUGAAAAGUUUCCAACAAGUGCUUAGAAAUGAAGCGAUGACAGAGGUGACAGAGUUUGCUGGUUUCUUGGAUUUGGAGUUGAACCCGAAGCAGUUAAAGGUUUUUGUAGAAGUGACAGAGGGAUCUAUAUUUUUGCAGCUGGAGAAAUUAAAUGAGUCGGUUCUAGUUCUUAGAGGGUGCUGUUCCUAUCUUGAGGAUGGAUUCGGAGCAAUAUAUAAGCUUAUGAGGCAAAGAGGUGAAGUUGGUCCGAUGUUGUUAUACAUUGUAAAACCAGGAAGCUUUGAUAAAAUUUUGCAAGUUGCUAUUGAAAACGGAGCACCAGCAAGUCAAUAUAAACCACCUAAAAUUAUAAGAAACCACAAAAUCGUUGAUUUAAUGGAAGAUUGUGCUGUUGUGACUGUAUGCUUGGAUUCUUUUGAUGGUUAAGAUCUGAGGGCUCAAAUAACAAGCACUGUUUGGAUUUCUUCGUGUGAAAAUGUCGUGUUCAUGUAAUAAAAGGAGACAUUUUCUGAGACUCAACUGGUGCUCUCCACGACAGCACUGUCCCAAUAAUGAAGGAAACAGAGACACCACAUACAAUCAUGAGCUGCAGAGGUAGUCAAUGCUCCUCGCAGAUUCUUGGGUGCUAUUUCAGCUAUAAAUACAGAUUUAUUAGCAAAGAGGCAAAGAAAUAGAUUCAUUCACAAGCUUGAAGAUACAUCUUAUAGUGAACCUCUGCUAUCGAUAGAUUGAGAUCUUCUGUGAUGGCAGAUUGAACAGGCGAUGAAUAGCCCACCUGAAAACCAACAAAUUACGACACAUCAGAAUUCUAAAGAAGCAUUUAAUUCAAGUGGAGUUGUGUUUAUGAACAAAUUUUUUUUUUGGUCGUUUAUAAUUGAAUUCUUUUAACUAUUUCUUACAUGAAAUGAAGUUUAAUUGAAUGUUUUGAUUGGCUCUUACACAUGUUCCAAGUGAAUAAGAACCACAUGAGGCAACGAAGGUGCUGAAGUAAACCAUCCAUUCAUGCCUAUCUUUUCUAACAGCUGAAGUCUUCUCUUGAUCUUGUAGAAGUGGCUCUCUAUUCUCUUCUUGCAAGCUGCCCUGGCUUCGCUCUUCAUCCUUUUUGGUUACCAUCUUUCCUAUUUGCAGUUUUUUUCAUUAUAAUACAGGUGUACAAGGGACUUGCAAAUAUGGGACUCGAAUGGAUUAUAUAUUGGCAUCAUCAAACUCACUGGACAAGUUUGUUCCAAGCGCGUACUCUGUGUUUUCAUCCAAAGGGACUUCAGAUCAUCACAUAGUGAAAGUUGACAUGUUAAAAGGAGAGAGCAAUGCUCAACAAUAUGGCAGUAGGAAGAGUAGACAA